rnacentral:lncRNA from 1 species
AUCUCAGCUCUUCCUGAGACUCGGGACUGAGGAUGGCGGAGAAGACUCAGAAGAGUGUGAAGAUCGCUCCCGGAGCAGUAGUAUGUGUAGAAAGUGAAAUCCGAGGAGAUGUAACCAUAGACUUUGUAUGAGGAGAGAGCAUGAGCCAUGCACACAUAUGACUCAUCCGUGUCACAGUGCCCUCCAUUGCUUGCCACCUGUACAGUGUGUGGCUCUCGUCGUGGCUCAGAAAGAACGCAAGCUCACAGCCCACAAUGGCCCCUGCCUAGGGUCCUGCUAUAGCGCCUGCUCCUCUUGUUCCUCUGGCUUUCUUAUCUUCCUCCUUCCCUAAAUGCUGGGAUUAUGUGAGCAAAGAGUGAUUAAUUUUAUUCUUUUAAUAGUUCUAUUGUUUUAUGUGUAUGGGUGUGUUGCCUGCACAUGUGUAUUUAUGUGUUCAUAUGUGCACAGUGCUAGGUGAGGGCAGAGGAGGGUUAUCUGCUUCCCAUAACUGGAGUUAGAGAUAGUUGUGAGCAGCCAUGUGGGUGGAAGAACAGCCAGUGUUCUUAAUCACUGUCGUUCUGUUAAUCCUUAGAGAAUUUCAUACAAUGUGUUUUGGUCAUGUUCACACCUAUUCCCUCAGAAGUGAUAAAGAAAACUCUUUAAGGAAAAAGAGCUAGAAUGAUUCACGGUUUAUCGACAGAGUGACUUGCUGUAUACAUAUAUGUGUGUAUGUAUCACCUAUCCACAUGCAGUGAUGCUGGGUAGCAGACAUGUGCUGAGCAUGGACUGAAGAUGCUUUCAUCUAUUUUAGAAACAAUUUCACUUAUAAGCAAGGAAAAGAUGCAGGAGAGAGAUGUAGUUAUACAGCACUGUGUCUCCCAGUUUUUAUCUCAUGAUGGUUGUAUUUAUCUCUCCCAGCCCCAAACCUUAUGUUUAUUUAAUUGUGUAUAUAAAUAAAUGGUUUCUUCCCCAG